ACUGGGAUGGAGGGGGGAGAGGCGGGAAGGGAGGGGCGGGGGACUGGCGAGAGGAUUUACCCGCACAGGAAAUUAACCUGCUGGAAAAUCCCGGGGGAGAGGCGGGAGCUGUAGGGGUGGCCGAGUGACCGUCGCCAAACGCAGCCCUACCGGGCAGCUGAUUUCUGAAACUGGACAAUAAGACCUGUCGCGCAGACUUGGCCAGAGGCGCUCGACGACUAAGUUCAAUUACGGAGUCCACAGGCGGUUUCUGUAGGGCGUGCCCAGGGCGUGCACCCCUCACCCCCACGCCUGCCUGGUGCCAGGGAGAUGCCAAGGCUGAAAGGACAGCGAAAAACUGGGUUCCCAACUUGCUGUUGCUGUCCUCAGCUUCAAGGGUUCAGCCUUGGACUCCAGUCUCAUCCUUUUAAAGAGACCCACCUCUUGGCAGAUGCUGAAGUCUGACUGUUUGAAUGUGAUUCCUGAACGAUGAUUAAAACAGAUUUGGAGCUUCGACAAAAGAGAUGCCAAAAUACCAGGGCACCCGGAGACCUUACCACCGUCAUUUCCACAAACCCAGUUUCCAUCCAGAGAACCUGAGGGAGAGCAAGGCAGGACGGAGAGCAGUAAGGUAAACACCACCGUCCCUGCCCCACAGCUGUCCCUACUCGACUCCCAGCCUCCCACGCCGAGACACAGCCCUUCAGAUUGUUUUCAGAGCAGAGUGCUGAGUCUUCAUAAUCAAGGGCUCUCUGAGCACACCAGUGAAAGGAGCUUUCUGUAUCACCGCUCUGAAUCGUAAAAAACGUCAGCCUCCCCAGUGCUUGUCUGUCCAUUAAAACUCAGCAUUUAUCUCAACAACCACAACCCACCCCAGCUCUGCUUCCAGCUCAUCAAAGUCAUCCGCGACCCUUUUCAC